rnacentral:ncRNA from 1 species
AACAUUAGGGGAGCCAUUUGGCUGAGACGGAAACAUAUACGGACCCUUCGAACCUGAUCUGGUUAGCGCCGGCGUAGGAAAGUGUUGAAAG